CAGUCGAGCGGACAGAAGGGAGCUUGCUCCCGGAUGUUAGCGGCGGACGGGUGAGUAACACGUGGGUAACCUGCCUGUAAGACUGGGAUAACUCCGGGAAACCGGAGCUAAUACCGGAUAGUUCCUUGAACCGCAUGGUUCAAGGAUGAAAGACGGUUUCGGCUGUCACUUACAGAUGGACCCGCGGCGCAUUAGCUAGUUGGUGAGGUAACGGCUCACCAAGGCGACGAUGCGUAGCCGACCUGAGAGGGUGAUCGGCCACACUGGGACUGAGACACGGCCCAGACUCCUACGGGAGGCAGCAGUAGGGAAUCUUCCGCAAUGGACGAAAGUCUGACGGAGCAACGCCGCGUGAGUGAUGAAGGUUUUCGGAUCGUAAAGCUCUGUUGUUAGGGAAGAACAAGUGCAAGAGUAACUGCUUGCACCUUGACGGUACCUAACCAGAAAGCCACGGCUAACUACGUGCCAGCAGCCGCGGUAAUACGUAGGUGGCAAGCGUUGUCCGGAAUUAUUGGGCGUAAAGGGCUCGCAGGCGGUUUCUUAAGUCUGAUGUGAAAGCCCCCGGCUCAACCGGGGAGGGUCAUUGGAAACUGGGAAACUUGAGUGCAGAAGAGGAGAGUGGAAUUCCACGUGUAGCGGUGAAAUGCGUAGAGAUGUGGAGGAACACCAGUGGCGAAGGCGACUCUCUGGUCUGUAACUGACGCUGAGGAGCGAAAGCGUGGGGAGCGAACAGGAUUAGAUACCCUGGUAGUCCACGCCGUAAACGAUGAGUGCUAAGUGUUAGGGGGUUUCCGCCCCUUAGUGCUGCAGCUAACGCAUUAAGCACUCCGCCUGGGGAGUACGGUCGCAAGACUGAAACUCAAAGGAAUUGA
rnacentral:rRNA from 1 species